rnacentral:rRNA from 1 species
UAUAAGAGGUCCAGCCUGCCCAGUGACCUUGUUUAACGGCCGCAGUAUCCUAACUGUGCGAAGGUAGCGUAAUCACUUGUUCUUUAAAUGAGGACUAGUAUGAAUGGCAUCACGAAGAUUAUACUGUCUCCUUUUUCUAAUCAGUGAAACUAAUCUUCCCGUGAAGAAGCGGGAAUAAAAAUAUAAGACGAGAAGACCCUAUGGAGCUUUAAACUAAAUUACACUUGCCCAAUAACUAUAAAAUUUGAGAAAAAUACUAUUACUCUGGCAUCAUGAUAAUAAGUUUUAGGUUGGGGUGACCGCGGAGAAAAAACCAUCCUCCGCAUUGAACAAGAUUUUAUCUUUAGCUAAAAGCAACAUCUUAAAGCAUCAAUAAAUUGACAUUAUUGACCCAAUUAUUUUGAUCAACGAACCAAGUUACCCUAGGGAUAACAGCGCAAUCCAUCUCAAGAGCUCCUAUCGACAGAUGGGUUUACGACCUCGAUGUUGGAUCAGGGUAUCCCAGUGGUGCAGCCGCUACUAAAGGUUCGUUUGUUCAA